CGAGCUAAGAGAUUUUAUGGUUACCAUUCAUCAGAAGAGCUAUUUGUCAAGAUAUACCUCUAUUAUCCACAUGAUGUCUCUCGUGCUGCUAAUCUCCUUCUGGCAGGUGCAGUUCUUGAUAAGAGUUUGCAGCCCCAUGAAUCUCAUAUUCCCUUUCUUCUUCAG